rnacentral:rRNA from 1 species
UCUCCAGACUCCUACGGGAGGCAGCAGUGGGGGAUAUUGCACAAUGGGGGAAACCCUGAUGCAGCGACGCCGCGUGGGUGAAGAAGCGCCUCGGCGCGUAAAGCCCUGUCAGCAGGGAAGAAAAUGACGGUACCCAAAGAGGAAGCUCCGGCUAACUACGUGCCAGCAGCCGCGGUAAUACGUAGGGAGCAAGCGUUGUCCGGAAUUACUGGGUGUAAAGGGAGCGUAGGCGGGAUGGCAAGUAGAAUGUUAAAUCCAUCGGCUCAACCGGUGGCUGCGUUCUAAACUGCCGUUCUUGAGUGAAGUAGAGGCAGGCGGAAUUCCUAGUGUAGCGGUGAAAUGCGUAGAUAUUAGGAGGAACACCAGUGGCGAAGGCGGCCUGCUGGGCUUUAACUGACGCUGAGGCUCGAAAGCGUGGGGAGCAAACAGGA